ACUGCGAAAGCAUUUGCCAAGGAUGUUUUCAUUAAUCAAGAACGAAAGUAGGGGGAUCGAAGAUGAUCAGAUACCGUCGUAGUCUCUACCAUAAACGAUGCCGACCAGGGAUCCGGAGAAGUUACGUGGAUGACUCCCCGGGCACCUUGUGAGAAAUCAUAAGUCGCUGGGUUCUGGGGGGAGUAUGGUCGCAAGGCUGAAACUUAAAGGAAUUGACGGAAGGGCACCACCAGGCGUGGAACCUGCGGCUUAAUUUGACUCAACACGGGGAAACUUACCAGGUCCAGACACAGUAAGGAUUGACAGAUUGAGAGCUCUUUCUUGAUUCUGUGGGUGGUGGUGCAUGGCCGUUCUUAGUCUGCGUGGAGUGCAUUUGU
rnacentral:rRNA from 1 species